GGUAACUCGCAAGACAGAGAACGAUUUGUGGUACACACAUAACUCUUGUCAUCUAUCGUUCUAACUCUUUACAAAUAGGGUCUACGCUAAAUAUAUCGUAUAAUAACAUCCAAGUGCUCCUUUACGUACGGUAACUAACUGUAAGCUAACAUCAACACCUAGUAAGACAUUGAAUUGAUGGGGAAGUUGUGUGUGCAUUCUUAAUUUGUUCACAUUUUGUGUAUGGUAAAGAUAAGUUGUAAACUCGACAUUUGAACCCAGGUCACAAAACUGAUAACGAAGAUACAUGGUGAAAAACAGGAACUCUGAUAAAGACACCAGAAUAAAGUGAGUCCAUAACUUCAUCACGAGGACACGAAACAUAUGAGGAUAAACAUAGGUGCGGGAAAUAUGCAAACAACAUGGUUACUCUUGCUAGUAAUAAGCUUUUCGGGUGGUAAAACGUACGGAUUUUCGGAUCUCGAGAAUUUCAUCAGGGUCAUCGGUUCAUUGAACCCAAACCAGACAGUGGUGAACUAUUUAAAUGAGUCAGUGUUUUGGAAACAGCCAAAGUCGAUUCUUCAAAAACUAUUCAACUACGAAGGGUACAAUAUUAAUCGCAAAAUUCGGCAAUCUGAUGGCACUUUUCUGUCUUUGUCUAGAGACUUUGUUGUUUACCGCCAACCGAAUACAUCUGAAAUUCUGCAGGUUUUGAUGAAUCCAAUUUCCUACAACGCAAACGAGGUUUUCAACGUUGCAAACGAUCCAGUGAACGCUCACAUUGGAAGCGCAUCGCCAGCAAUGCCUGUACCGCCUCAUUUACCAGAAUUUCUGGUAUAUAAUACUGAUAUCAUAUUGGAAUAUCCGAAUCCUUUGCAGCCGAAUAACUAUGCCCAUUACUCCGCUGGACCCGUAUACGAUUGCGUAGAGUUAUUCGGAUUAUUUUCUAAUUCAACCCUUAUAAAUGCAUCAAAAACAGAUAGCGUGCCAAUGACAGGUACGUGGAUGCGAAAAUCCCAAUACUUUCCCUGGAUGGAACUAGGUACAACUCCUGGGUCUUUGUUUUGACACAACACUCGCUUGGAAAUGUUACGAUGGUCUCCAAUGCGUAGCGGAUGAUAUCAUGCAGAUUAUCAAGCAAAACUUCCCAAAAUAUCAGUAUGCGCCAUCUACGGAAGAAGUCCCGAACGAAACGUCGUGGACGGCUUUCAAAAAGAUUAUAGACCAACGCAGACUUGCAGGUCUACCGGAUAGUAUUAUACCCCAGGUGAACGCUUCCUCGGAUGUGAAAGACAUGACCUACGACGUAGACCAACGUGUGCUAGACAUCCUGUACAAAUGGCCAUUAAUGGUUCGCGUCAAUGGAACGGCUUGGUCGGAGAUUACAGGACAGCAAGGCAUUGCCUUGUUAGACAUCGUUGGUUACGUGGAAGUUGACCUCGAACCUUUGAUUACAGCGGCUACUGUCUCCAGCUAGAUGGCGCGUUGCUCUUAUACAAUAGGACAACGCACGCCGUCAUUCAAAACUUCCACAAUCCAAUCACUUGCCGCGUUAACAAGGUUAAUCCUAUAACGGUUGCGACAGACCUUAUCUUUCCCAAUGAUUCCUUCUUUACUGUAGACAUACCAUCGUCCAAAAUGGUCGGUUUGAUUGGGGCUCAGUCCACGGAGACCGAUAAUGGAUUGGCAGUAAAUAUGCUGAAUUUUUUGUUUCCAUGGCAGGCUCAGAAUCUCUCGUCCACAUUUUAUGGAACGUGGUCUACGUUUGCAUCGUGGCCUGAGUUCAUGGUAAUGGGUGAUUCACCAGGGAAUAUUGUGCAAAAGCUAACGGUUUUCAAUAGUAGUAAAACUGUAUUGCACUGAUGAGAAAGUGAAUCAGAAGGCAUGAAAUCGUACACCACCUGCUACUGGCGGAAUUGUAUUAACUCUUUUGUCAAACGUUGAUUCGCAUUGUCGAUAAAAAUAGACCCAUGCUUUGUAUUUACUUGUAUGCAUGUCUUGUACAAUACAGUUUCUUUGAAACACCGUGUCAUUGAAAUAUAAAUGUGUAUCGUAUAUAAUCGCACAUAUUGUUAAGAGCUAGAACAUUUAAAGGCCUCUAGACCGAAACCACAAUGCUCAAUAUACCAAAAUACUAUUCCACAACGCCGUAAACGACCCUUGCACGUCAGUGUAUGAAGAUGAAUAUCACCUUAAAGGGGUCUUUUCACAGAUUUUGGCAUUUUUUGAAGAUUGUAAUUAAAUUAUUUGUAUUGAUAAAUGUAAACAUUUGAUCUAAAAUGUACCAGAAAAAAUCAAGGAUAAAAUUUAAAAAAAAAUGAAAAAAGUAACCCUAGGAAGAGAUCGAAGUAAUGACCCCUGGAGUCCUUGAGUAAAUGUUUGACGUCGUGUUACCAUCCGGCAAUAUACGAAUAUAAUUAAUGACUGUGUCUUAAAGUGAGCACUGUCUACACAAUUAUGAAUAAUCUUUCUCAUAAAAUAACAAGAUAUACGUUCAACUAUACUUAUAAAUAUUAAGUGCUGUGUGAAAAGGGGGUUAAAUGCAUGUGCCGUCCGUACAGUCCGCACUGGCUAAUCAGUGAAAACACUUUCCGCCUUCAGUGGAUUAUUGCUAAGAAGAUACUUUCUUUAAACCGAAAAUAUCAUAACAGCGGAAAGUAGCGUCCCUGAGUAGCCAGUGUGGACUUCAUUGUAUAAUCUCGGACGAAACUUUACGCAAAUGCAUGAAAACCCCUUUUCACAGAGCACCGCUUAGUUGUUUUUUAAAACAAUUUAACCUGUACUAUUGCGUGUGCCUCAAUACAAACAUUGACGAAACCACUGUUUGUGAUUUGGAUCUUUCUGAUUUAAACAAAGAUGCUCUAAUGUUAAACUUUAUACGGGUAUGUCUCUCAAGCUUUUUUUCGAAGGAAAACUGGUUAUUAUAUUGGUGAAUGGUGUUGCGUUGUGUGUGCCCCAAUACAUACAUACACAGAUACACAACACUCUUUUAAUUUGGACCUGAUGCUCCUUUUGGUUACAUUAAUCGUCAUUCAGACAGUUACAGUUUCGGUGUUCUGAUUUGUAUCAAACCAUUGAGUACUUAAAUGGUAAUUGAACUUUUAUCGCUUUUAUUGCAAUUUACUUUGAAUCGUGAUGCUACGAAAAUGCAUUUAAUUUACUCUUAAAAUAUAAUGUGAGUAUUUAUAUGCCACCCAUGAGGUUUGUAGCUCCAUAUAACCGCCCCCGCCAAAUCAAUACUCUUGUAUUGACCGUCCCAAGGCGGUGCCCCCGGUUAAUUCAUGUGUGUGGAUUUCUUAUUUUGUUAUGUGUGUGUCAUGUAUUAUCUGCUGCUAGUAAAACUGAAAUGUAA